GUAUCUUUCGCGUCGUAUAUCUUGCUUUAUUAACCACAAUAACAGUAAUUAAUGUUCGACGCAUCAAAUAAGAAGAUAUCAAGAAAAACUGCGCGAUUUUGAAAAGAGAAAAUUUUUCGGGGCGUGGUUAGAAGAUCAUCUUUGAUACAGCAAAAUGGAUCGAUCCUCAAGUGACAUGUGCACAGGAAUAAGUCAAAAUAUCGAUAUUUAAAAUUGCUUGGAAAAAUAUAUCGGAUAGAUAUUCUAGCAUUUUUAAUUCAAUUGAACUGACAUCCGAUACCUAAACGACUAAGAAUAAAAGCGUUAAAUAUCGAUACUUUGGUUUAUCCCAAAUACGCCGCGCGACGCUCAACCGAUAGAUUGAAGCGAAUUGAAUUGAAGGCCCACGAGAACGAUCAAAGCGUAUGAAGAUUUCGAUAUGUAAGUAAAACAUCAUGAAAUUAUGUUUGAAUCGUUAAAUGAUAUGUCAUUUCGCGACGCAACUCGCAAAUUCUUUGAUUGCGUUCUUUGCAUCACGUUUCUCGCGAACAUUUUCAAUUAUAUGGAACAUUUCGUACUCUUAUAUCGUUAUUAUUAUUUUUAUUGUAUAUCUUAUUAUACAUACAUUUUUUAUCUCACGUGUAAAAGUGCACAGAUUAUAGCCGAUUUCAUAAAAAAAUGUAUAAAACUUUGAUUUAUUACCGUGAGAUAUUGAGUAAGUUAACAUUUUUCUUAUCAAAUCUUUUCUUUGAUCUGUGUCAAAUCAAAAUAGUAAUCGAAAUCUACAAUUAGCAACGAUGCAAUCGAAGUAGUAAAUUCGCGCAUCAUUAAUUCCUUGGUUUUAUGUUUACAAAGUUUUUACAUUACGAAUCGUUGUUGAAUCAGAAAGCGAUGCGUUUGCGAGUUUCUUAACUGUCUGAUAAUUUAUUCAAUAUUGAUAUUUUACUCAAUAUGAAUUGUUAUACAUAUAGUUAAUUUUUAUUUUUAUCACUCAACUCUUUAUCUCAUCUUAAAAUCACGAAACAGAUAAUCGAUCCGUGUAAAAGUGUUUAAAAAGCAAUGACAACUAUAACAAUGAUAAUAAAACGAUAAUAAUCAACAACAAUCGAUUAACAGAACUCGGUAAGUUCGAGCGUAAAGACUCGCGUUAUUCACCGUGAAUGACUUGCGAAAGCCGAUUCGAUUGCGAUUUGAUUUUUGUUUUCUUUCUCCUUACAACUCUUAUCGCGCUUUAAAUAUAUAUUUAUAUAUUUAUAUAUAUGUAUAUGUAUAUAUAUUUAUAUAUAUUAUAUAUAUAUAACCCUCGUAAAACACACCUACGGUCAACAAUUCGAUAAACCCUAUUCCGUAAUUUACACAAUCUACACAUAGACAUUUUGCUCUCAUUUUUCUCUUAAUAAUAAUUAAACAUCGCGAGAUGAUUUCUCUCACACUCACAUACACAAACACAGGCAUGCACACCGAUUGUGACUACAACGAGGCCCAAUUGCGAAUAAAUAACGAAACAAUCGUGCGAGCCCUGACGGCGAUCGACUUUGGCCCGUUACUGGUUUUCUUUUCUUUUUUUUUUUUUUUUUUUUUUCGUUUUGUUUUCAUCACUGAAACCGCUGACGGAUGCGCACAUUAUUAUUAUUCUCACAAAGAGUAUAAAAUAUCUCACACCUCCAUACGCGCACGCGCGUUAAUCGUUCAUUCAUAACGCGACUGUGAGAUGUGAAUGACGUAUUAAUUGACAACGCCUUCGUUACAACGAGCGAUAGCAAAAAGUGUUGUCGUUCUAAAGAGUUCUUUGUCUACUGGAAAUACUCAUUGUUCCGGAUGACUUUUAUGUAAAAGAACCUGAGUGCCUUUACGUCAAAAACUGAGAAAUAG